rnacentral:RNase_P_RNA from 1 species
AUAGCAGGCCGGGCGGCCGCCCCUUUACAGGGGAGGAAAGUCCGAGCUUUCAAGGGCGAGGAUGCCUCGUAACGCGAGGGGGUCUCGACUUAAAGUCGGGAUCACGGAUAGCGCCGCAGAAAAUAUACCGCCCCCGGUUCUUAUCGGGGGUAAGGGUGAAAAGGCGGUGUAAGAGACCACCGGAUCCCGUGAAAACGGGAUCGCACGGCAAGCCCCAUCCGAAAGAAAGGCCAAAUAAGGGGAAAGAGGCGGCCCGCCUCGUUUGAUCCCCGGGUAGGCCGCAUGAUCCCGGUGGCGACUUCGGGACCAGAUAGAUGGCCGCCGUCACGAGACGCCUUUUUGGGCGCUUCGUGAUACAGAACUCGGCUUAUAGGCCUGCUUUGUUU